AUGUACAGGUUCUAAACAUUUUUUCUGCUUAUAGGAAGAAAGACAAGCUUGGUGAACCAAUAGCAGCUCCACGACGGCUUGUUUCUUCUUUGUGGAAAGAUCAGCUAUUGCUUCCAAUGAUGAAGUGAAAUCAUAGGAAAGGGAAUGGAAGAUCCAUAGCUUGAUAGAAAUCUAAAGACACAAAAAGAAGAAUUUCAAGAAAAACUCAUGGAUGCUCAUGAUGAAUGUGAUGUGGAUUGAACUUGAAAAGUUGUAGUUAGAUUCGAUGGUAAAUUAUAGUUUAGUGAACUUGAGAAAAUAAAUGUGCUCAUUGAUAUUGUAUUUUGAAUGUUGACAUA